AAGCGGAGGAAAAGAAACCAACAGGGAUUGCCUUAGUAACGGCGAGUGAAGCGGCAAAAGCUCAAAUUUGAAAUCGGCCAACAGGUCGAGUUGUAAUUUGUAGAUUGUAUCUUGAGAGCGGAUUAAAGUCUGUUGGAACACAGCGCCUUAGAGGGUGACAGCCCCGUAGAAUCUAUUCUCAUUGUAAGAUGCUUUCGAAGAGUCGAGUUGUUUGGGAAUGCAGCUCUAAGUGGGAGGUAAAUUCCUUCUAAAGCUAAAUAUUGACGAGAGACCGAUAGCGAACAAGUACUGUGAAGGAAAGAUGAAAAGCACUUUGAAAAGAGAGUGAAAAAGUACGUGAAAUUGUUAAAAGGGAAGGGUAUUGAAUCAGACUUGGUGUUGUUGUUCAGCUGUGUUUCGGCAUGGUGUACUCAGCAGUACUAGGCCAAGGUGGGGUGUUUGGGAGUGAAAAAGACGUAGGAAAGUAGCUCUUUGGAGUGUUAUAGCCUGCAUUCAUAGCUCCUCAGGCGCCUCAGGACUGCGCUUCGGCAAGGACCUUGGCAUAAUGAUUCUAUACCGCCCGUCUUGAA
rnacentral:rRNA from 1 species